GAGUUUGAUCAUGGCUCAGAUUGAACGCUGGCGGCAUGCUUUACACAUGCAAGUCGAACGGCAGCACGGGGGCAACCCUGGUGGCGAGUGGCGAACGGGUGAGUAACGCAUCGGAACAUGCCCAGUAGUGGGGGAUAACACAUCGAAAGAUGUGCUAAUACCGCAUACGCACUGAGGUGGAAAGCGGGGGAUCGCAAGACCUCGCGCUAUUGGAGUGGCCGAUGUCCGAUUAGCUAGUUGGUGGGGUAAUGGCCUACCAAGGCGACGAUCGGUAGCUGGUCUGAGAGGAUGAUCAACCACACUGGGACUGAGACACGGCCCAGACUCCUACGGGAGGCAGCAGUGGGGAAUUUUGGACAAUGGGCGCAAGCCUGAUCCAGCCAUGCCGCGUGAGUGAAGAAGGCCU
rnacentral:rRNA from 1 species